rnacentral:rRNA from 1 species
UACAGAGGCCCCAAGCGUUACUGAGAAUCACUGGGUUUAAAGGGUGCGUAGGUGGCGCGUUAAGUCCGUUGUGAAAUCCCUUGGCUCAACCAAGGAAAUGGCUUCGGAUACUGGCGUGCUUGAGGCUAGUAGGGGUCACUGGAACUGACGGUGGAGCGGUGAAAUGCGUAGAUAUCGUCAGGAACGCCGAUGGUGAAGACAGGUGACGUGGGCUAGUUCUGACACUGAGGCACGAAAGCGUGGGGGGGCGAAACAGG